UACGGAGGGGGCUAGCGUUUGUUCGGAAUUACUGGGCGUAAAGCGCACGUAGGCGGCUUUGUAAGUUAGAGGUGAAAGCCCGGGGCUCAACUCCGGAAUUGCCUUUAAUGACUGCAUCGUCUCGAAUUGUGGGAGAGGUAAGUGGAACUGCGAGUGUAGAGGUGAAAUUCGUAGAUAUUCGCAAGAACACCAGUGGCGAAGGCGGCUUACUGGUCCG
rnacentral:rRNA from 1 species